CGUAAUCAUAGAAUAAUAAGGCGUUAGCUUUAUUAUUCUAUGGCGUAAUUUUACGCUGUAUUCCUCAAGUACUCUUUGUCGUUCUGUUAUUUAUAAUAAUUCUCCAGCUUACCCGCUUCAUUUUCCAUUUUCUGUACCUCACUUCAGCAGUCUGUUAUUCGCGAAUUCAUUCUAGCCGGUAAUUUGCUUCGAACGGAAAGGCAUGCAUGAAAACACGUGGUAAUCCUUCGGAGCGUGAGCCAAGUUUUGUCGCCAGAAGAGUUCCUCGGCAAGAUUCGUCUUCAUCGUGUGUACUACUUGUAGGUGCUGCGCGAAGAUGCAAGGAGAAUACACAAUCCUCCAGGAAGUAACCAAAGCAGCUCCUUAGCAAUCAGUGCUUUUAACGCAGAGUGGAAAUCUCACCAUGCCUUACUCAGUAACCACAAUGAGUAUGUCUCAAGACGACCAGAAAAUCAAUGAAUUCACGGAUAAAAGAGGUAAAAGGAGAAGUCAAAAUCAGUGGCCAAUUGUGUAUUCAAAAGAAUAUGAUGUCAAACUGUGCGGACUUCAAAAGCUUCAUCCUUUUGAUGCAGAGAAAUGGAGGCAUAUUUUCUUGAAUCUCAAGAAAGAAAACAUGCUGUCAGAUGAGACUGUCUCCACCCCAGUGGAAGCAGAUGCGGAAAUGUUGUUAUUAGUGCAUACUCAAAAAUACUUGAACAGUUUGAAGUGGAGCUGGAAAGUUGCCAAGAUAACUGAAAUCCCUGCAAUAGCGAUUAUUCCCAAUUGGAUCAUUAAUCAGCGGUAUCUGAAACCUAUGAGGUUUCAAGUUGGCGGUUCUGUUCUAGCUGGAGAGUUGGCCAUCCAUCGAGGAUGGUCUAUCAAUAUAGGUGGUGGAUUUCACCAUUGCUCCGGGAAUGAAGGUGGAGGAUUUUGCUCUUAUGCUGACAUCACACUUUUGAUCAAAUGGCUCUUCAAAUUUUAUCCGCAACGAGUCAAAACAGCAAUGAUAGUUGACCUUGACGCUCAUCAAGGUAAUGGACAUGAAAGAGACUUCUUUAAUGAUGAAAAAGUGUUCAUCAUGGAUGUUUUUAACAGAGAAAUUUACCCUCGAGACUCGCCGGCCAAAGAAGCCAUUAAAUGCAUGGUGGAAUUAGAGUCAUACACGUCUGACUCAGAAUAUCUUGAUCUAGUUGAAAGGAAGUUGGAAAGAUCAUUACAUAAAUUCCAUCCAGAUAUAUUAGUGUACAAUGCAGGGACUGAUAUUUUAAGUGGAGAUCCGCUAGGGCGUUUAGAUAUUUCUGCUGAGGGUAUUAUCAGGAGGGAUGAAAUAGUUUUCAUGAAAGCCAGAGAGCGGCGAGUGCCUAUUGUAAUGUUAACCAGCGGUGGUUACCUGAAGAAAACAGCAGAAAUCAUCUCCAGAUCCAUUCUGAAUUUAGAGGCUUUGAACUUAAUAUCAAGAUAGUUGGAAUUCGUUGAUGCUCAUCGGCUCAUCCGUCGCACGAAGAACAGCAAGAAAACCACUGUCGCUCUCGUCAAGCCUCUUUCGUCGCUGGAGAACUGAACGGGAAAAUUGAACGUGCAACGCUGAAUUUUCUUCCGUGAAGAAUUCUCUUUUUUAAAACGCAAGCAAGUGCCUACAGCAUCAAGCAUCCUGCACAAUCUGAAUUCGUGGUGGAUAAGAUGAUAUUGUCAAAGUCGGGUCAUCAUCGGACGUUCUUGCCGGCUUUGAUUUCCUGAGGUAAUCGGGGUCGUUCAGAUCGAAUUCUCGUCUACUCUCUGGCCGUUGAUGAAGUUGAUGGUACUGUGUGAUUUCUUGAUUGUACUGUCGCUUUCGCUAACAUUAAAGAAAUUAAAGAAACGCUAUGAAUGGAAUGAAGGGAAAUCUUGAAACACGAAUGAAAAAAUCACACCAAUCAAAGAGACAUCUUUUCUUAGCCAUCAAAGUAAAUUAGUCGCAUUAAUCCAAUAUCUCUUUUCUUGACUUUUAUUUACGAAAGAUGUUCUUCGAACAAGAAAAAAGAAUUGUUCGCUUGUCUCAAUUGAUUUUUCUAACUCCGAUCGUUUCUUUCCUUGCAAUAAAAGCGACCUAGUGUCUUGUGCCUUUCCCA